AUGAUAAAUGAUAGGAUUCAUGUUAGCACGUGUAAUCCGCGUGUCACUUGGCUGUGGAGCCAAAGUCAUGGUGAUGACCCGGGUGCUCCGCAACAUCUUCGGUUACCCUUUCCACACCCAUUGCUUGUUUUGGUUCCAUACACAACAAGUUCACCUUCAUCUCAUGGUCUAUUUUGCGAGAAACUCCAAAUGUAUUUUAACUUCAAACGCAGAGUUUGGGAUUCCUUAAUCAAUGAUGCCUUGUUUCAAAAUAAAACUAAAACAACAACAUUUUUUCUUAUACCUUUGAGAAAUUCAUCAUUUCAGUACGAGCUCCGAGAGGAAGAGGCUAGAUCAAAAUCGACAUGUUCUCAGGACAUACACGAAAUCAAUAUGUAA
rnacentral:rRNA from 1 species